UUUUUUUCAGACGUUUUUCCUGUAUACAUGUGUACUCCCCCUACAAUCCGACAAUGGCUAGAUUUUUGUUUAAUUUUAAAAUACCCAUCAAUAUAUAAGUUUCUAACUGAAUUUUGUUGUUUUCUCGUAACUACCAUCAUUAGAUACAGUAAUAUGUGAUGUUAAAGUUUCACAUCCAAUUGAAAUAUGAAAUCUCAAAAUGGACCCAUUACAAAGACCCUUUUGUAUAUGGAACGUCGAAAUAUAGGCUCUGAAGUGAUACCCACCUUUCCCGGAACUUGAGCCUCCACAUUGGAUUUUUUUAUUACUUGUCUUAACGCGUUGCAGGGGACAGAAAUGCCGGGCGUCAGUCAUGUGUUGCCAUAUUUUUGUGAAAUUUAUAUCAUCAGCAAUGUCUUUGAAACUCGCGAAAAUAAGUCCUGAUCAAAUAAUUUAACCAACUAUGCCCCCUUUGAAAUAUAAAUCAUAAUUGAUAUACCAUUGCAUUUGGCCAGAAGCUUUUAUUUCUCUUUAGUUAAUAAAUAAAAAAAAGAAAGAAAAUGCUCUUUUUUAGUAACUGACCUUGUAUAUUAGAAUAGAUAAAAUUUAAUAUGUGCACUACGGGGAAUUUUGAACUCUUUUUUUUUUUUGAAAAUAAAUUAAUAUUCUACCAAGUUUGAAACGGGUAUUUAUUAGCCCAGAUAUGAUCACACUCCAUAAUAAAUACUAGUCGUAUUUAAUGUCACAGGAAACGAUAUCAGACAAUGAUGUGUUCGUUGUUAACUUGUAAAGUUGCUAUGUAAUCGCUCCGCUUGGUUCAAUCUCAGACCAAACAUGUCUGCAGGUCUACGUUUUAUCAUCCUCUGUCAAAAUGAUGUGGAUGCUUGAGCAUCUGAGCAUACAUGCAAGCUACGCCACUG
rnacentral:lncRNA from 1 species